rnacentral:rRNA from 1 species
GAUGAACGCUGGCGGCGUGCUUAACACAUGCAAGUCGAACGGAAAGGCCGAAGCUUGCUUCGGUACUCGAGUGGCGAACGGGUGAGUAACACGUGGGUGAUCUGCCCUGUACUUCGGGAUAAGCUUGGGAAACUGGGUCUAAUACCGGAUAUGACAAUCUCUUGGAUGGGGUUGUGGAAAGCUUUUGCGGUAUGGGAUGAGCUCGCGGCCUAUCAGCUUGUUGGUGGGGUAAUGGCCUACCAAGGCGUCGACGGGUAGCCGGCCUGGGAGGGUGUACGGCCACAUUGGGACUGAGAUACGGCCCAGACUCCUACGGGAGGCAGCAGUGGGGAAUAUUGCACAAUGGGCGCAAGCCUGAUGCAGCGACGCCGCGUGGGGGAUGACGGCCUUCGGGUUGUAAACUCCUUUCGCAACCGACGAAGCUUUUGUGACGGUAGGUUGAGAAGAAGCACCGGCUAACUACGUG